ACCCAAUCCAAUUGGGUUCAAAUCAACUCACCAUUAUGUCUUCAUCCAAUGGUAGAUGAAGAUCUAACGGUCUAAAAUGAAUGAUUUAUCAAAUCUAAUCCAAUUAGACUCAAACCAAACCAAUUUAGGUGCCAACUCUUGGCUAACUCAUAUUAGGAUAUGAUCUAGUCAAAUUAGAUCAAUUAAGAAUCAGAUUCGAAUCCAAUUCGAAUCAGGAGCUAAGGUUUGCAACACCUGGUAGGAUAUUUAUCUUGCAAACAUGAUCUAAUCCGAUUAGACCCUUGAUCAGUUUUCUUGUGUAUGACCCAUUGGGUUCCAUAUUUAGCCAGUAAUAGGUGUGAGUGCGAGUUAACCCA
rnacentral:lncRNA from 1 species